AAAGUCUUUAUUUUAAGUAUAGCUUCUAACUAUAUAAUAGUAACUUAAGUUACUAAGAUUUU
rnacentral:tRNA from 1 species